AUUUACAUCCUAUAUACCAUAUCAGAAUAUCUUGAAACUGGAUUAUCCAUUCGUGCAUGGUGGAAUAGACAGAGAAUGACAAUAAUAACCUCAACAAGUGCAUGGUUAUUUGCAAUUUUAAGUGUAAUAUUGAAGAUCCUAGGCAUUUCAGAGACAGUAUUUGAAAUUACUCGAAAAGAAGAAUCCACUUUCACUGAUGAUGGUGAUGCUGGUAGGUUCACCUUUGACGGGUCACCCAUUUUUUUGCCUGGAACAACUAUUUUGAUGGUACAAUUUCUUGCACUGGUUAUGGGUUUAUUGUCGGUGCGUGAUG
rnacentral:misc_RNA from 1 species